ACCAACACAUUGAUGGAGACAGUAUAAUUUGGCAGCUGUACAGAAAAAGGUUCCCGAGGCUGAAAGAACCUUCCGCAUGCGAUUUUAGAAAGCUACUCCGGAGUGCAGCUAAUCCCUGCCGUCACGCCGCGUUAAGGCAUAAUGAGAGACACGGAUGUUUUCCGUGUAAUUAGGGUGGUACCGCGAAUUAAAGCCUUCGUCCCUUGC
rnacentral:ncRNA from 2 species